UGCACUACCAUGCCUGGCUAAUUUUUGUAUUUUUGGUAGAGACAUGGUUUCACCAUGUUGGCCAGGUUAGUCUGGAACUCCAACCUCAAGUGAUCCUCUGGCUUCAGCCUCCCAAAGUGCUGGGAUUACAGGUGGGAGCCAUGGUGCCCAGGUCAGAAGGUUAAAUUGUUUCAGUAAAAAGUCAUUCUGUUGUGGAAAUGUUACAAAUGCAUUGCUAAAAGGGAGAGAAACAUCCAGGCGUAAACACUUAUUGUCAGGGAUCCCUUAUCCUGGUGGAAUAAGCAUAAACUUUGGAGUCAGAAUUAAUUUGCAUUCUCUUUUACUUAUUAUGAGUCAGGGGACAAGUUUCUUAGCUUCUCUAAGCCUCAGCUUCUUCCUUUGCAAUAAUAACACUUGGCUGACAGUGUUAUCAUGAGGAUUAAAUUAAAUGACAUCUAGUAUUCUGCUUGGCCUAGAGUACACACUCAGUAAAACUGAUCCCUUUCUCACUUCUCCCAGGCUUAGAAGUUUUCUGGAGGUAAAUUGCAUAGCCCACAGCUGAAGUUGAUCUCUUGGUUCUUCCUCAUUCUUUUUUAGUAACAGAAUGAUAGAAGUUUGAAAAGUACUGGAGGACAGGAGAACACCUGAGCUCAGGGAUCAGACUCUAGGAUAAGAAACUAGUUCAGCAGGAAGUGUGCACUGUCAGCCUCUUAAGGAUCAUAUGCUCAAGGUGUCCAAUCCCAUCGCACAUGUUUAAUACCUCAAAUGUCACUUGAUGGUAGAAGACUCUCUAGGGAACUCUGAGAACAGUACCCAGCUGUAGUGGAAGGCUCACCUGAGAGCACCUUUUAGUCUUUCUCUAUCCUUCUU
rnacentral:lncRNA from 10 species